AUACGGAGGGUCCGAGCGUUAUCCGGAAUCAUUGGGUUUAAAGGGUCCGUAGGCGGGCAGCUCAGUCAGUGGUGAAAGUUUGCAGCUCAACUGUAAAAUUGCCAUUGAUACUGGUUGUCUUGAAUUAAGGUGAAGUGGUUAGAAUAAGUAGUGUAGCGGUGAAAUGCAUAGAUAUUACUUAGAAUACCAAUUGCGAAGGCAGAUCACUAACAUUAUAUUGACGCUGAUGGACGAAAGCGUGGGGAGCGAACAGGAUUAGAAACCCUAGUAGUCC
rnacentral:rRNA from 1 species